AAAUACAGCUUCUUGAAAAAGGGACACGCCCGUGUGCCACGGUCGUGUGAUGUGAUUGCCAAGCCAUGUUCGAUCUGUUAAAUUGCACACGGCCGUGUGGGUCAAUAGCCAGGCCAUGUGAAUCGUGAAAGCCUUGGUCGACACCCUCGAAAGACACGGGCGUGUGAGCUGCCCGUGUGGCAAGGCUUAGGCCGUGUCAUCUUCUUGAUUUGGUCCGUUUUGUCCC
rnacentral:lncRNA from 1 species